UACAGAGGAGGCAAGCGUUGUUCGGAAUCACUGGGCUUAAAGCGCGUGUAGGCGGCGCGGUAAGUGUUCUGUGAAAAUCCCACGGCUCACCCGUGGAACUGCAGGGCAUACUGCCGUGCUUGAGGCAGGUAGGGGUCACUGGAACUCUCGGUGGAACGGUGAAAUGUGUAGAUAUCGAGAGGAACGCCCGAGGCGAAAGCGGGUGACUGGGCCGAUACUGACGCUGAGGAGCGAAAGCGUGGGGAGCGAACAGG
rnacentral:rRNA from 1 species